rnacentral:rRNA from 1 species
UACAGAGGGUGCAAGCGUUAAUCGGAAUUACUGGGCGUAAAGCGCGCGUAGGUGGUUUGUUAAGUUGGAUGUGAAAUCCCCGGGCUCAACCUGGGAACUGCAUUCAAAACUGACAAGCUAGAGUAUGGUAGAGGGUGAUGGAAUUUCCUGUGUAGCGGUGAAAUGCGUAGAUAUAGGAAGGAACACCAGUGGCGAAGGCGACCACCUGGACUGAUACUGACACUGAGGUGCGAAAGCGUGGGGAGCAAACAGG